rnacentral:misc_RNA from 1 species
GCGGAAGGAUCAUUACCGAGUGAGGGCCCUCUGGGUCCAACCUCCCACCCGUGUUUAAUUUACCUUGUUGCUUCGGCGGGCCCGCCUUAACUGGCCGCCGGGGGGCUUACGCCCCCGGGCCCGCGCCCGCCGAAGACACCCUCGAACUCUGUCUGAAGAUUGUAGUCUGAGUGAAAACAUAAAUUAUUUAAAACUUUCAACAACGGAUCUCUUGGUUCCGGCA